rnacentral:Y_RNA from 1 species
GGCUGGUCCAAAGGUAGUGAGUUAUCUCAAUUGAUUGCUCACAGUCAGUUACAGAUCGAACUUCUUGUUCUACUCUUUUCCUCCUUCUCACUACUGCACUUGAGUAGUCUUAA